UGGGGAAUAUUGCACAAUGGGCGAAAGCCUGAUGCAGCGACGCCGCGUGAGGGAUGACGGCCUUCGGGUUGUAAACCUCUUUCAGUAGGGACGAAGCGCAAGUGACGGUACCUGCAGAAGAAGCACCGGCUAACUACGUGCCAGCAGCCGCGGGAAUACGUAGGGUGCGAGCGUUGUCCGGAAUUACUGGGCGUAAAGAGCUCGUAGGCGGUUUGUCACGUCGUCUGUGAAAUCCUAGGGCUUAACCCUGGACGUGCAGGCGAUACGGGCUGACUUGAGUACUACAGGGGAGACUGGAAUUUCUGGUGUAGCGGUGGAAUGCACAGAUAUCAGGAAGAACACCGAUGGCGAAGGCAGGUCUCUGGGUAGUAACUGACGCUGAGGAGCGAAAGCAUGGGUAGCGAACAGG
rnacentral:rRNA from 1 species